rnacentral:rRNA from 1 species
GGGGUCAAAAUUAAUAAUUAAAUAAUUAAUAAAAGAAAUUUUAAUAUUAAAAAUAUAUAUAAUGGGGGUUAAAGUAUUUUUAAUAGAAAAAAUUUAAAAUUUUAUAGUAAAUUAGUAUUGUGAAAGAAAUUUGAAAUAAAUUGAAAUAGAAAAUUAUAAUAAAGUAAAUUUAAUUUAUUGUAUCUUGUGUAUCAGAGUUUAUUAAAAAUUUUUUAUAGUUUUAAAUUUCUCGAAUUUAAAAGAGUUAAUUAAUUAAUAAAUUUAUUGUUUCAUAAAUAUUUUAAAUAAUUAAUUAGAAAUGAAAUGUUAAUCGUUUUUAAAUAUAUCUAGUUUUUUUAGAAAAAAAUUUAAUUUUUUAUUAAAAUUAAAAAUUAAUUAAUUAUUUUAAUUAAUUUUUAAUUUUAAUUUAAUAAUUUAAGGGAUAAGCUUUAAAUUAAAUUUUUAUAAUUAAAAAUUAAUUAAUUUUAAAAUUUUUAUAAUUUAUAUUGUUAAUAAAUUUUAAUUUAUUAUAAAUAAUUUUAUUGAAAUUGAAAAUUUAAAAUAUAAAAUUUAAUUUUUUAUAAAAAAAUAUUUUUUAAUUUAUAAAAUUUAGUUAUAAUGAUAAAAUUAGUAUAUUUAUAAAUAAAUUUAUGAAAUAAUUAAAAUUUUAUUUAUAUGAUAAUUAUUUUAAAGGAAUUCGACAAAUUUUUAUAUUCACCUGUUUAUCAAAAACAUGUCUUUUUGAAAAUAUAAUUUAAAGUCUAAUCUGCCCACUGAUUUAUAAAUUGAAGGGCUGCAGUAUAUUGACUGUACAAAGGUAGCAUAAUCAUUAGUCUCUUAAUUGGUGACUUGUAUGAAAGAUUGGAUGAAAUAUAAAUUGUCUCUAUAAUAUAUAAUUGAAUUUAAUUUUUUAAUUAAAAAGUUAAAAUAAAUUAAAAAGACGAGAAGACCCUAUAGAGUUUGAUAUUAAUUUUUAUUUAAAUUAUAAUUAAUUUUUAAUAUUUUAAAUUAAAAUUAAUAUUUUAUUGGGGUGAUAGAAAAAUUUAAUUAACUUUUUUUAAUAAUUAACAUUAAUAAAUGAAUUAUUGAUCCAAUAUUAUUGAUUAUAAGAAAAAAUUACCUUAGGGAUAACAGCGUAAUUUUUUUUUUUAGUUCAAAUAAGAAGAAGAGUUUGCGACCUCGAUGUUGGAUUAAGAUAAAAUUUAAAUGCAAAAGUUUAAAAUUUUGAUCUGUUCGAUCAUUAAAAUCUUACAUGAUCUGAGUUCAAACCGGUGUGAGCCAGGUUGGUUUCUAUCUUUUAAAAUUUUUAAUAUUUUAGUACGAAAGGAUCAAAUAUUAUAAUUAAAUUAAUUUUUUUUGAAUAUUAUUAAGUUAUAAAAUAAAUUUAUA